rnacentral:rRNA from 1 species
AUUGAACGCUGGCGGCAGGCCUAACACAUGCAAGUCGAGCGGAUGAAGGGAGCUUGCUCCUGGAUUCAGCGGCGGACGGGUGAGUAAUGCCUAGGAAUCUGCCUGGUAUUGGGGGAUAACGUCCUGAAACGGGCGCUAAUACCGCAUACGUCCUGAGGGAGAAAGUGGGGGAUCUUCGGACCUCUCGCUCUCAGAUGAGCCUAGGGCGGAUUAGCUAGUUGGUGGGGUAAAGGCCUACCAAGGCGACGAUCCGUAACUGGUCUGAGAGGAUGAUCAGUCACACUGGAAGGGAGACACGGUCCAGACUCCUACGGGAGGCAGCAGUGGGGAAUAUUGGACAAUGGGCGAAAGCCUGAUCCAGCCAUGCCGCGUGUGUGAAGAAGGUCUUCGGAUUGUAAAGCACUUUAAGUUGGGAGGAAGGGCAGUAAGUUAAUACCUUGCUGUUUUGACGUUACCAACAGAAUAAGCACCGGCUAACUUCGUG